GACGAACGCUGGCGGCAUGCUUAACACAUGCAAGUCGAACGAAGUGGCGAACGGGUGAGUAACGCGUAAUCAACCUGCCCUUCAGAGGGGGACAACAGUUGGAAACGACUGCUAAUACCGAAUACUGAAGGAGGGGAUUGUGUGGGAUUGGCUAGUUGGGGGGGUAACGGCCCACCAAGGCGAUGAUCAGUAGCCUGUCUGAAGGGAUUAACGGCCACAUUGGGAAUGGGAAACGGCCCAGACUCCUACGGGAGGGAGCAGUUGGGAAUCUUCCGCAAUGGACGGAAGUCUGACGGAGCAACGCCGCGUGAGUGAGGAAGGGCUUCGGGUUGUAAAGCUCUGUUAAUCGGGACGCGGUACCGGAAUAGAAAGCCACGGCUAACUACGUGCCAGCAGCCGCGGUAAUUC
rnacentral:rRNA from 1 species